rnacentral:rRNA from 1 species
GAUGAACGCUGGCGGCGUGCCUAAUACAUGCAAGUCGAGCGAACGGACGAGAAGCUUGCUUCUCUGAUGUUAGCGGCGGACGGGUGAGUAACACGUGGAUAACCUACCUAUAAAACUGGGAAAACUUCGGGAAACCGGAGAUAAUACGGUAUGAUAUUUUGAACCGCAUUGUUCAAAAGUGAAUGACGGUCUUGCUGUCACUUCUAGAUGGAUCCGCGCUGCUUUCGCUAGUGGGUAAGGUAACGGCUUACCAAGGCAACGAUGCAUAGCCGAACUGAGAGGGUGAUCGGCCACACUGGAACUGAACCACGGUCCAGACUACUACGGGAGGCAGCAGUAGGGAAUCUUCCGCAAUGGGCGAAAACCUGACGGAGCAACGCCGCGUGAGUGAUGAAGGUCUUCGGAUCGUAAAACGCUGUUAUUAGGGAAGAACAUAUGUGUAAGUAACUGUGCACAUCUUGACGGUACCUAAUCAGAAAGCCACGGCUAACUACGUG